rnacentral:tRNA from 1 species
UGGCUGAGCGGUAAAGCGCUUGGCUUCUAAACAUGGGGUCACGGGUUCGAAUCCUGGU